rnacentral:rRNA from 1 species
UACGUAGGGGGCAAGCGUUGUCCGGAAUUAUUGGGCGUAAAGAGCUCGUAGGCGGUUUGUCACGUCUGCUGUGAAAUCCCGAGGCUCAACCUCGGGCCUGCAGUGGGUACGGGCAGACUGGAGUGCGGUAGGGGAGAAUGGAAUUCCUGGUGUAGCGGUGGAAUGCGCAGAUAUCAGGAGGAACACCGGUGGCGAAGGCGGUUCUCUGGGCAUUACCUGACGCUGAGGAGCGAAAGCAUGGGGAGCGAACAGG